rnacentral:rRNA from 1 species
GAUGAACGCUGGCGGCGUGCUUAACACAUGCAAGUCGAACGAUGAAGCCCAGCUUGCUGGGUGGAUUAGUGGCGAACGGGUGAGUAACACGUGAGUAACCUGCCCUUGACUCUGGGAUAAGCCUGGGAAACUGGGUCUAAUACUUGAUAUGACUUCUCAUCGCAUGGUGGGGGGUGGAAAGAUUUAUUGGUCUUGGAUGGACUCGCGGCCUAUCAGCUUGUUGGUGAGGUAAUGGCUCACCAAGGCGACGACGGGUAGCCGGCCUGAGAGGGUGACCGGCCACACUGGGACUGAGAGACGGCCCAGACUCCUACGGGAGGCAGCAGUGGGGAAUAUUGCACAAUGGGCGCAAGCCUGAUGCAGCGACGCCGCGUGAGGGAUGACGGCCUUCGGGUUGUAAACCUCUUUCAGUAGGGAAGAAGCGAGAGUGACGGUACCUGCAGAAGAAGCGCCGGCUAACUACGUG